CAUCAACAAAAAUGUCUAUUUUCAGCCUAAACCCCUUUUUUGACCACUGUAUUUGUAUAGUAUAUUUAAUAGCCUAUUUUUCAUACUCACUCAAAUGUCUACAAAGCACUUCAAACUAUUUAGCAGACUAAGUUUUAGAUAUGUUAAUCUAUGCUUUUUUUUUUUUGGCAGAUAUUGGCCUACUACCCAUUGCCACCCCCCUAACCCUUCCAUCCCCGCCUUCAAGCAAAGAUGCACAUUACCUAAAGUUAGGGAUCAGAAAAGCAAAAAGACAGGAAAAAAAAGGCCAAGGAAAUAUGUUCUAUAAUUUGUUUCCAUAAAAAGAAGAGUGUUGAAAAUGGAAAAAGUUAAGGUAAAGUGAAAUUCAUUUUUUUCUUAUUUUAAAUUUCUCUUUAUAUCUGUAU
rnacentral:lncRNA from 1 species